rnacentral:rRNA from 1 species
UACGAAGGGGGCUAGCGUUGUUCGGAAUCACUGGGCGUAAAGCGCACGCAGGCGGAUCGUUAAGUCGGGGGUGAAAUCCCGAGGCUCAACCUCGGAACUGCCUUCGAUACUGGCGAUCUUUGAGUCCGGGAGAGGUGAGUGGAACUGCGAGUGUAGAGGUGAAAUUCGUAGAUAUUCGGAAGAACACCAGUGGCGAAGGCGGCUCACUGGCCCGGUACUGACGCUCAGGUGCGAAAGCGUGGGGAGCAAACAGG